ACGGUCCUGGUUGGGACUUUGGGAGUUGCCGAGUUGGGUGCGUGGACGCCCACAAAAGCGGUUUCUGACCAUUUCACAACGGAAAAGCGCCAAAUGACGAGCAAAAUAGUGGAUCUCGACUGGCAAUUCGGAGUGACAGCUGCAUCAAAUCUUCCAUCCCUCGUGGGCAAGUCGUUCGUACAGCUCAAGCUGACUCUCGACACCGAAGGGAUGCAAGAGAUCGUCAACCUCGAACUCAGCGUCCAACAGUUUUAUACGCUUUUGCAUGAUCUCGAAAAAGCCAAAAGUGAUCUCAGUUAGAACUAAAUCUCAAAAUGUUAUAAAUGUUUAAAAAAUUGUUAUAUAUGUAUAUGAUGUUAAUAGUCCAACUAUAUUUGUUAUUAAAUAUUUAAACAGUUUAUUUUGUAAUAAAGUUUGAUAUAUAUAA